rnacentral:rRNA from 2 species
UUUAAGGUCUAAUCUGCCCUAUGAGGAGUUAAAUGGCCGCGGUAUUUUGACCGUGCAAAGGUAGCAUAAUAAUUAGUUUUUUAAUUGAAAGCUGGAAUGAACGAUUGAACGAGAAAGUGACUGUCUCAAUGUAAUUUAGUUAGAAAUUUAUUUUUAAGUAAAAAAGCUUAAAUUUUAUUAAAAGACGAGAAGACCCUAUAGAGUUUUAUAGAUACUUAAUUUAUUAAUUUUUUAGUAUUAUUUUAUUAAUAUUUAAUUAUUUAUUUUGUUGGGGCGAUAGGGAGAUUUAAUAAACUUUCUUUAGGUAUUGAACAUUGAUAAAUGAUUUUUUGAUCCAUUAUUAAUGAUUAUAAGAUUAAGUUACCUUAGGGAUAACAGCGUAAUUUUUUUUCUAGAGUUCUUAUCGAAAAAAGAGAUUGCGACCUCGAUGUUGGAUUAAAAUAAAUGUUUGGUGUAGGAGCUAAAUAAUUAGGUCUGUUCGACCUUUAAAAUUUUACAUGAUCUGAGUUUAAACCGGCGUGAGCCAGGUUGGUUUCUAUCUUUAAUUUGUUAGGAUAUUUUAGUACGAAAGGACCAAAUAUUUAUAAUAAUUAUUAAUAUUUGAAUAAUAUUAG